GGUGGUAUAGCUCAGUGGUAGAGCACGUGCUUAGCAUGCACGAGGUCCUGGGUUCAAGCCCCAGUGCUUCCA
rnacentral:tRNA from 1 species